UACGAAGGGGGCUAGCGUUGCUCGGAAUUACUGGGCGUAAAGGGCGCGUAGGCGGACAGUUUAGUCAGAGGUGAAAGCCCAGGGCUCAACCUUGGAAUUGCCUUUGAUACUGGCUGUCUUGAGUUCGGGAGAGGUGAGUGGAAUGCCGAGUGUAGAGGUGAAAUUCGUAGAUAUUCGGCGGAACACCAGUGGCGAAGGCGACUCACUGGCCCGAUACUGACGCUGAGGCGCGAAAGCGUGGGGAGCAACCAGG
rnacentral:rRNA from 1 species